rnacentral:rRNA from 1 species
UACGUAGGGUGCAAGCGUUAAUCGGAAUUACUGGGCGUAAAGCGUGCGCAGGCGGUGAGGUAAGACAGAGGUGAAAUCCCCGGGCUCAACCUGGGAACUGCAUUUGUGACUGCAGAGCUGGAGUGCGGCAGAGGGGGAUGGAAUUCCGCGUGUAGCAGUGAAAUGCGUAGAUAUGCGGAGGAACACCGAUGGCGAAGGCAAUCCCCUGGGCCUGCACUGACGCUCAUGCACGAAAGCGUGGGGAGCAAACAGG